rnacentral:misc_RNA from 1 species
AAACGUCGGAUCGCCGCUUCGACUCUGUCGGAGCUCGGUUCGGACUAUGGGAGUCUGCGGGCGAAGCGUGACUUCGUCGGCUCUCCUCAAAAGCAUUAGCGUGGGCGGCGAGCCUGGCACGGCACGGCCUCUUCGACGUCGUAAUGAUCGUCGUGGGCUGGAAGUGUACGCCUCGAUGCGCCCCAUGCUUCCCAAGUCUUGCGAGCCCGUCUCUUGUGGACGGCCGCGCCCCCCAUCGAA